UCUUAUUUGUCUCCGUUCUCCACGCCCCCUAGCCCCCUGUGCUUUACAUCUAGAACAGACUGUCAGCUCCAUUUUCAAACUCCUUGUACAUCGCUACUCUCUGCCACAGUCAACGAGAUAAAGAGCUCCCUGGUGCUUACCUGAAUCAAGCCACCAUUAAAGGUCUGCUAUGAUCAGGACUGUGAUGAGUCACGGAUGAUAUAUACCCAGUAUCCAGCAGAAGGCUAGCAUUUUAUGAGCAUCCAAUGAUCAACAAAGCCCUCUUCCCAGGCACUUCCAAUUGACUGAAGUUCUGAGUGUGCGAAGUACCUCCCAGCUCCAUAAUGCUCGUCUGUCUGAGUGAAACUUCUAGUUGGGCAGCAGCUCGGCUUCUCCAUGCUGGAUGAUGAUACAGAGAAAUCAAGCUGAAACUGGACUGGAAGCAUCUUCUCUGACGAGUAGCACCCAUGUUGCUGGAAGGCGCUAUGCAGACUGUUGGUGAGAAUGAUUUACAGUCUUUACUCAGUUGUGGACCCUUUGUGUAAUGACGCUAACCACCCAGGUGAGAAGAGCCCAUUGCUACAGCGGUGCCCAUUCUGCUAUAGGGAUGACCAACCACUUUAUGAUUGGAUUCGAUGUCUCCUGUUCAGAAAAUAAUUUACAGGAUGAGGAGGUCACAGACCUGGUGGAGAAGCUACUGAUGUUGUUUCACUGAGUGGAUAUGUUCUCUCAGUCCAGUUCCUUUCUGUGCUAUGCCUGUAGAUUGAUGCUGCUGCCAGCUUCAGUCAGAGACGCUUUGUGGGCAGGGGUUAGAGGUGACUGCACAAACUCAAAGUUGGUCAAAGUCCUGAGAAUAAUUUUCUGUUGAGUGCUUAGCCAUAG